rnacentral:rRNA from 2 species
AGACCCGAAACCCGGUGAUCUAGCCAUGGGCAGGUUGAAGGUUGGGUAACACUAACUGGAGGACCGAACCGACUAAUGUUGAAAAAUUAGCGGAUGACCUGUGGCUGGGGGUGAAAGGCCAAUCAAACCGGGAGAUAGCUGGUUCUCCCCGAAAGCUAUUUAGGUAGCGCCUCGUGAAUUCAUCUCCGGGGGUAGAGCACUGUUUCGGCUAGGGGGCCAUCCCGGCUUACCAACCCGAUGCAAACUGCGAAUACCGGAGAAUGUUAUCACGGGAGACACACGGCGGGUGCUAACGUCCGUCGUGAAGAGGGAAACAACCCAGACCGCCAGCUAAGGUCCCAAAGUCAUGGUUAAGUGGGAAACGAUGUGGGAAGGCCCAGACAGCCAGGAUGUUGGCUUAGAAGCAGCCAUCAUUUAAAGAAAGCGUAAUAGCUCACUGGUCGAGUCGGCCUGCGCGGAAGAUGUAACGGGGCUAAACCAUGCACCGAAGCUGCGGCAGCGACACUCAGGUGUUGUUGGGUAGGGGAGCGUUCUGUAAGCCUGCGAAGGUGGCCUGUGAGGGUUGCUGGAGGUAUCAGAAGUGCGAAUGCUGACAUAAGUAACGAUAAAGCGGGUGAAAAGCCCGCU